rnacentral:rRNA from 1 species
GUUAGGAAUAUUGGACAAUGGGCGCAAGCCUGAUCCAGCCAUGCCGCGUGAGUGAUGAAGGCCUUCGGGUUGUAAAGCUCUUUAGCCGAUGAUUAUAAUGACUGUAGUCGGAAAAUAAGCCCCGGCUAACUUCGUGCCAGCAGCCGCGGUAAUACGAAGGGGGCGAGCGUUAUUCGGAAUCACUGGGCGUAAAGCGUGCGUAGGCGGCUUUGCAAGUUGGGAGUGAAAGCCCAGGGCUCAACCCUGGAAUUGCUCUCAAAACUGCAAGGCUGGAAUUCGGGAGAGGAUAGCGGAAUUGUCAGUGUAGCAGUGAAAUGCGUAGAUAUUGACAGGAACACCAGUGGCGUAAGCGGCUAUCUGGACCGAUAUUGACGCUGAGGCACGAAAGCGUGGGGAUCAAACAGGAUUAGAAACCCCGGUAGUCC